AACGAACGCUGGCGGCAUGCCUAACACAUGCAAGUCGAACGAGACCUUCGGGUCUAGUGGCGCACGGGUGCGUAACGCGUGGGAACCUGCCCUUAGGUUCGGAAUAACUCCCCGAAAGGGGUGCUAAUACCGGAUAAUGUCUUCGGACCAAAGAUUUAUCGCCUUUGGAUGGGCCCGCGUUGGAUUAGCUAGUUGGUAGGGUAAAAGCCUACCAAGGCGACGAUCAAUAGCUGGUCUGAGAGGAUGAUCAGCCACACUGGGACUGAGACACGGCCCAGACUCCUACGGGAGGCAGCAGUGGGGAAUAUUGGACAAUGGGCGAAAGCCUGAUCCAGCAAUGCCGCGUGAGUGAUGAAGGCCGUAGGGUUGUAAAGCUCUUUUACCCGGGAUGAUAAUGACAGUACCGGGAGAAUAAGCUCCGGCUAACUCCGUG
rnacentral:rRNA from 1 species